CUUCGAAAUUAAUAUACAUACUCAUCAGUACCCUGUCUUUCUAUUUCUUAAAUUAGCUCAAGAGAGCAGCAUGGUUUCCAGCGAUGGUUAAACAUUUCCACCAAGAAGCCUUAGUGAAAUUGGAAAGUAAUUGGAAGACAAAACAGAAAGAAAAGGAACCUGACAUCAAAAUAGAGAUUUUGUAACGGCUUAAGAACAGAGACCAGUUUGGAAGAUCAAGAGCCAUUAGGUUACAGAACUCACAAUUUUUGUUAACAAAGAAACUGAAGAUAUGAAGCAUUUG
rnacentral:lncRNA from 10 species